rnacentral:rRNA from 1 species
GGAAACUGGGUAUAAUACCCGAUAGGUCUCGAUUGCUGGAAUGCAUCGAGAUUUAAAGCUCCGGCGCCUAAGGAUGGGUCUGCGGCCUAUCAGGUAGUAGUGGGUGUAGCGUACCUACUAGCCUACGACGGGUACGGGUUGUGAGAGCAAGAGCCCGGAGAUGGAUUCUGAGACACGAAUCCAGGCCCUACGGGGUGCAGCAGGCGCGAAAACUUUACAAUGCUGGCAACAGCGAUAAGGGAACCUCGAGUGCCAGGUUACAAAUCUGGCUGUCGAGAUGCCUAAAAAGCAUUUCAUAGCAAGGGCCGGGCAAGACCGGUGCCAGCCGCCGCGGUAACACCGGCGGCUCGAGUGGUAACCGUUAUUAUUGGGUCUAAAGGGUCUGUAGCCGGCCGGAUAAGUCUCUUGAGAAAUCUGGCAGCUUAACUGUCAGGCCUUCAGGAGAUACUGUCUGGCUCGAGGCCGGGAGAGGUGAGAGGUACUUCAGGGGUAGGGGUGAAAUCUUGUAAUCCUUGAAGGACCACCAGUGGCGAAGGCGUCUCACCAGAACGGACCUGACGGCAAGGGACGAAAGCUAGGGGCACGAACCGGAUUAGAUACCCGGGUAGUCCUAGCCGUAAACGAUACUCGCUAGGUGUCGGCCACGGUGCGACCGUUGUCGGUGCCGUAGGGAAGCCGUGAAGCGAGCCACCUGGGAAGUACGGCCGCAAGGCUGAAACUUAAAGGAAUUGGCGGGGGAGCACCACAACGGGUGGAGCUUGCGGUUUAAU